GAACCCACAUCCGUUGAAAAGGGUGGGGAUGAGGUGUGGAUAUGGGAGAAAUUCCAAUCGAACCCGGAGAUAGCUGGUUCUCCUCGAAAUAGCUUUAGGGCUAGCCUCAUACGAGUCUUGCGGAGGUAGAGCACUGAAUUCCUACGGGGGCGUCAAAGCUUACCAAGGGAUAUCAAACUCCGAAUGCCGUGUAGAUGAUGUAUGUGAGUCAGACUAUCCGAGAUAAGUUGGGUAGUCAAAAGGGAAAGAGCCCAGACCUACAGCUAAGGUCCCAAAAUGUGUGUUAAGUGGAAAAGGAUGUGGGAUUUCGAAGACAACUAGGAUGUUGGCUUAGAAGCAGCCAUCCAUUAAAAGAGUGCGUAAUAGCUCACUAGUCGAGAGGUCCUGCGCCGAAAAUGUCCGGGGCUGAAACACACUACCGAAGCUUAGGAAUUGACGAAUGUUAAUUGGUAGAGGAGCAUUCUUAACGGGGCGAAGCUGUACCGGAAGGAGCAGUGGACUGUUAAGAAGAGAGAAUGCCGGAAUGAGUAGCGAGAGGAAGGUGAGAAUCCUUCCGGCCGAAUAUCUAAGGUUUCCAGAGUAAAGCUGAUCUGCUCUGGGUAAGUCGGGGCCUAAGGCGAGGUCGAAAGACGUAGUCGAUGGAUAACAGGUAAAGAUUCCUGUACUAUAUCAUAACAGAACUGUGGGGACGCAGACAGAGAGCAUAAGCCGGGAAUGGAAAGACCGGUACAAGCGAGGUAGGAGUGCAUCAGGCAAAUCCGGUGCACAAUCUGAAGACGUGAUGUGGGGCGUAAAGCCGGAAGUAUGUGAGCUGGCUGCCAAGAAAAGCCGCUAUUGUUUAUGAUAUACCCGUACCGUAAACCGACACAGGUGGAUGAGGAGAGAAUCCUAAGGCCGACGGGAGAAGCAUUGUUAAGGAACUCGGCAAAAUGACUCCGUAACUUCGGGAGAAGGAGUGCCAUGUAAAAGUGGCCGCAGAGAAUUGGCCCAAGCAACUGUUUAGCAAAAACACAGGUCUAUGCAAAACCGAAAGGUGAGGUAUAUGGGCUGACGCCUGCCCGGUGCUGGAAGGUUAAGAGGAGAGGUUAGCCGCAAGGCGAAGCUUUGAAUUUAAGCCCCAGUAAACGGCGGCCGUAACUAUAACGGUCCUAAGGUAGCGAAAUUCCUUGUCGGGUAAGUUCCGACCCGCACGAAAGGCGUAAUGAUUUGAGCGCUGUCUCGGCAAUACAUCCGGUGAAAUUGAAGUGCCAGUGAAGAUGCUGGCUACCCGCGCCAGGACGGAAAGACCCCAUGGAGCUUUACUGUAGUUUGAUAUUGAGUGUUUGUGUCACAUGUACAGGAUAGGUAGGAGCUGAAGAAUCCGGGACGCCAGUUUCGGAGGAGGCAACGGUGGGAUACUACC
rnacentral:rRNA from 1 species